rnacentral:rRNA from 1 species
CCUACGGGCGGCAGCAGUGGGGAAUAUUGGACAAUGGGGGGAACCCUGAUCCAGCCAUGCCGCGUGUGUGAAGAAGGCCCUCGGGUUGUAAAGCACUUUCAGUGAGGAAGAACGCCUGGUGGUUAAUACCCAUCAGGAAAGACAUCACUCACAGAAGAAGCACCGGCUAACUCCGUGCCAGCAGCCGCGGUAAUACGGAGGGUGCGAGCGUUAAUCGGAAUUACUGGGCGUAAAGCGCGCGUAGGUGGCUUGAUAAGCCGGUUGUGAAAGCCCCGGGCUCAACCUGGGAACGGCAUCCGGAACUGUCAAGCUAGAGUGCAGGAGAGGAAGGUAGAAUUCCCGGUGUAGCGGUGAAAUGCGUAGAGAUCGGGAGGAAUACCAGUGGCGAAGGCGGCCUUCUGGACUGACACUGACACUGAGGUGCGAAAGCGUGGGUAGCAAUCAGGAUUAGAUACCCUUGUAGUC